AUGCAAACAAACAAAAAUUAUAUUGAAAAAAAUGUUGAAAAAAAUAUUGAAAAAAAUAAUAGUAGAUAUAUAAUAAAUGAAAAUUUAUUAUUAUGUAAAGAUUGUAUAAAUGGUUAUAUUUGUAACAACUGUUGUGUAAAAAAGAAGCAAAUAGUAAAACCAUAUGAAGAAUUAGGAAAAAAUAACAAUAUAAAAAAUAAACAAUUAGGGAUACCUACAAGAGUAUAUAAAAACAAAAACAUUUUCAGUCAGGAUUAUAAUAAUAUAAGACCAGAUAUUAUUUGCACAACUAAUAAUAACCCUAGUACUAUAACAACAGCUAUGAGCAACGUAAAUAAUAUGUUAAGUAACACUAGUGAUCAUGUAAUGUUGUGUGUAGAUAAGUUUGAUUGUAUCUAUAAUAAAAACAUGUACAAUAAUAACAUAAACGUAAGUAGUGGUAACACAAACGUAAGUAGUGGUAACACAAACGUAAGCAGUGGUAACAUAUACGUAAGCAGUGGUAACAUAAACGUAAAUAGUGGUAAUAUAAACGAUAACAGAAACGUGUACAUUGAUAAAAAAAAUAUGAACAGUCAGCAUUUUAUUCAUACAAAUGAUAAGAAAAGUGGUAAUUCUUACUCAAAUUUUAAUACAUCCCUUAUGUUUUACGAUCAUUAUGACAAUUUUAAUAAUAAAAAUGAAUUUACAAAUAUUCUUUUCAAAAAUGAGAAACACGAAACUAAUAACAAUGGUAAUAGUGGUAACAGUGGUAACAGUGGUAAUAGUGGUAAUAGUGGUAAUAGUGGUAACAAUGGUAACAAUGGUAAUAGUGGUAAUAGUGGUAAUAGUGGUAAUAGUGGUAACAAUGGUAACAAUGGUAACAAUGGUAACAAUAGUAAUUAUAUUAAUUCAAAUGAUUUGAUAAAUAAAAAAAUACAAAUUAUGCAACAACUGAAACAAUUUUUAAAUAAUAAUCAAAAUAUAAAUUAUGUUUCAAACUAUGUAAUGGAUCAAUACAACAAUAAUUAUUGUAGUAGCAAUAACAGUUAUGCUUCUACUACUGCUACUACUACUACUACUACUGCUACUACUACUACUACUACUACUACUGAUCGUAACAACAGUAACAACUAUACUACUACAACUGGUUAUAAUAAAAAUAUAAGUAACGAUAAAUUAUUAUAUUGGAAUAAAAACAACAAAAUAAAUAUGGCCAGCAGUACCAUUAGUGGUCUUACCAGUGACGAAGAUAACUAUUACAAUGACAACUUUGACAACUUUGAUAAUUUUGACAAUUUUGAAACUUUUGAAAAUUAUUAUUAUAAGAAUAAUGUUAAUAGUAACGAUUAUAAAAACAACAUAAAUUAG
ensembl:lncRNA